rnacentral:pre_miRNA from 1 species
AAUGAUGUUUUGACUCUUCGUCUUAUUUGAAAUUUUUUUGCGAUUAAUAUUUUUAUUUUUACUAGUACUUUAUGCGUGACUAAUUUUUUAAAGUUUUUUUUACAAAUUUUUCAAAUAAGACGAAUGGUCAAACGUUAAACACGGAAAAACA